ensembl:snRNA U2 U2 spliceosomal RNA
AUCACUUCUCAGCCUUUUGGCUAAGAUCAAGUGUAGAUUAUCUGAAUCCUCUGAGCAAGCUUUGUAUCCAUAUUUGUGGCAAAAUGUUUAUAAUUAUACUUGUGUUCAUCAUUGCAUGAUCUAUUCUAACAUCAGAGGAAACAGGCAUGAAGAU